GCUUGUCUAGCUUAGUUGGUAGAGCUCAAGGCUCUUAACCUUGUGGUUGUAGGUUCGAGCCCCAUGAUGAGUG